CGUCGGGCUCUCCCAGGCGGAGGGCCAGCGGGCCGGAGCGGCGCAAACAUAAACACGAGAUUGCUGCGGUAAUUGGUGGCUCUGCAAACACUGAGGAAAUGAGAGGCUUGUACGAAACAUCAGCCGACAAGAAACGGGGUGAUGUCAGACAGCCUUCCAGGAUUAGAAACCCUUAAAAGCUCCGAGCCCGCGGCCGCUGCGGAAAGCUGCUUGGCUCUCCGGACAGAUGUGAUGGUACGAAGAUGCUGGAGUCUAGGAUUCUUAGAAUGGCUGAGUUGGAGAGGCUGAUCCAUCAUUUUAUCCAACCUGCUUGGUCCCCAACUGGCCAGGUGGAGGCUCAGAGAGGGCUAACCAUGCCACAACCCUAUGAAGGAGGUAUCUGUAGCCUGUUACAUGGUGGCCACCAAAAAGAUAUAUCCACAUCCUAACUUCCAGAACCUGUCGAUUUGGCCUUAUUUACAUCUUUGUGGAUGUAAUUAAGGAUCUUGAGAUGAGAUUAUCCUGGAUUAUCUGGUGGCUCUAAAUCCAAUGACGAAUGUCCUUAUGAGAGACACACAGAGGAGUGACACACAGGGGAGGAGGUGGCCAUGUGAAGACAGAGGCAGAGACUGGAGUUGUGCAACUCCCAGCCAAGGAACACAUGGAGCCAGUAGAAGUUGGAAGAGGCAAGGAAGGAUUCUUCCUUAUGUGUACACUUCAGAGGGAGUGUGGUCCUCCUGCUAAUGCUUUGUUGUAGGACUUUGGGCCUCCAGAACUGUGAGAUUAAAUAUCUGUUGUUUUAAGCCA